GACGAACGCUGGCGGCGUGCUUAACACAUGCAAGUCGAACGGUAAGGCCCUUCGGGGUACACGAGUGGCGAACGGGUGAGUAACAAGUGGGUGAUCUGCCAUGCACUUCGGGAUAAGCCUGGGAAAAUGGGUCUAAUACCGGAUAGGACCACUGCCGGCAUGGGUGGGGGUGGAAAGCUUUUGCGGUGUGGGAUGGGCCCGCGGCCUAUCAGCUUGUUGGUGGGGUGAUAGCCUACCAAGGGGACGCCGGGGAGCCGGCCGGAGAGGGUGACCGGCCACACUGGGACUGAGAUACGGCCCAGAGUCCUACGGGAGGCAGCAGUGGGGAAUAUUGCACAAUGGUCGCAAGCCUGAUGCAGCGACGCCGCGUGAGGGAUGACGGCCUUCGGGUUGUAAACCUCUUUCAGCACCGACGAAGCGCAAGUGACGGUAGGUGCAGAAGAAGGACCGGCCAACUACGUGCCAGCCGCCGCAGUAA
rnacentral:rRNA from 1 species